rnacentral:tRNA from 1 species
GGAGAUGUAGCUCAGUGAUAGAGCAACUGCCUAGCAUGCACUAGGCCCUAGGUUCAAUCUCCAUUACCA